UACGUAGGGCGCAAGCGUUAUCCGGAAUUAUUGGGCGUAAAGAGCUCGUAGGCGGUUUGUCGCGUCUGCCGUGAAAGUCCGGGGCUCAACUCCGGAUCUGCGGUGGGUACGGGCAGACUUGAGUGUUGCAGGGGAGACUGGAAUUCCUGGUGUAGCGGUGAAAUGCGCAGAUAUCAGGAGGAACACCGGUGGCGAAGGCGGGUCUCUGGGCAACUACUGACGCUGAGGAGCGAAAGCGUGGGGAGCGAACAGG
rnacentral:rRNA from 1 species